rnacentral:rRNA from 1 species
GACGAACGCUGGCGGCGUGCUUAACACAUGCAAGUCGAACGGAAAGGCCCUGCUUUUGUGGGGUGCUCGAGUGGCGAACGGGUGAGUAACACGUGAGUAACCUGCCCUUGACUUUGGGAUAACUUCAGGAAACUGGGGCUAAUACCGGAUAGGAGCUCCUGCUGCAUGGUGGGGGUUGGAAAGUUUCGGCGGUUGGGGAUGGACUCGCGGCUUAUCAGCUUGUUGGUGGGGUAGUGGCUUACCAAGGCUUUGACGGGUAGCCGGCCUGAGAGGGUGACCGGCCACAUUGGGACUGAGAUACGGCCCAGACUCCUACGGGAGGCAGCAGUGGGGAAUAUUGCACAAUGGGCGGAAGCCUGAUGCAGCAACGCCGCGUGCGGGAUGACGGCCUUCUGGUUAUAAACCGCUUUCGCCUGUGACGAAGCGUGAGUGACGGUAAUGAGUAAAGAAGCACCGGCUAACUACGUG